GCCUGGGUGGCUCAGUCUGUUAAGCAUCUGACUUCGGCUCAGGUCAUGAUCUUGCAGCUCUGUGAGUUCGAGCCUCUCAUCGGGCU
rnacentral:tRNA from 1 species